rnacentral:lncRNA from 1 species
UUUGAUUGUAGAAAUUAAGAAUUUACAUUCUUAAAAUGUGGAAUGUUUUCAGUAACAAAUUCAAUCUCACUAAAAAUUGCAGCACCCAGGUGGUGAAGAGGUCCUCAGGGAGCAAGCUGGGGGAGAUGCUACUGAGAACUUUGAAGAUGUUGGCCAUUCCACAGAUGCAAGGACACUGUCAGAAACCUUUAUUAUUGGGGAACUUCAUCCGGAUGAUAGAGGGAAGCUUCAGAAACCAACAGAAACUCUUAUAACCACUGCUCAGUCUAAUUCCAGUUCGUGGUCCAACUGGGUGAUCCCAGCGAUAGCAGCAAUUAUUGUGGCCCUGAUGUAUCGUUCCUACAUGUCAGAGUAAGCGCCUUACUGAGAACUAAUGCAAGAAGAGCCUGAUCUGGGAGAAAAUACAAGCAAUCCUAACUCAAUAUCAUCCUGGACAAAAGCCUGAUGUCUGAAGAAAAAUUCAACUUUUUCAGAAAACUGAACAAUUCUUUUCUGCUGUGCACUUUUCUUAAUGUUGCCUUCUCGUUUGCUGUUCUGAAAUGAUAUAAAGGCAGCAUUUCUUUGUAUAACAAUUUUAUUCUCGAAUUAUUUGAUAACUGUAUUGGUUUCUGUGUUUAGAAUAUUGUUUUGUAUGUAACAUUCUGAUUCUGGUUAUUUCUCCUUAAUCAUGGGGUCUGUAGGACUCUCUUGACAUACAAAUUUUACAGCUUUAAAUGACUACCAAAACUGUGUACAUGUAUUUGUCCAUGUACACAACUUAACUUAAAAGUCAUGUUUUCUUAAAUGUAGUAUGCUUGAAUGAAAUGCUAAUUAAAUGUAAUGGAAAAAGCUGAGUCGAGUAGUGGGCAUAGGUGUCUGUAAGUGGUUGGGCUAUACCAAUCAGGUUAUAAUGAGGUGAUUAUAUUUUUUUUUUCUUUCCUCUUGACAUCUGCUCUUAUAGUUGUAGAUAUUCCUACUAGCAAACUGUUCUGUUUGGCUCCCAUUGAAAAAUU